GCUAAGGUGGCGGAAUUGGUAUACGCGCUAGCUUCAGGUGUUAGUGUCCUUACGGACGUGGGGGUUCAAGUCCCCCCCCUCGCACCA
rnacentral:tRNA from 1 species